rnacentral:rRNA from 1 species
GAACGGGUGAGUAACACAUCGGAACGUACCGGCUAGUGGGGGAUAACCCGUCGAAAGACGGGCUAAUACCGCAUACGCUCUUAGGAGGAAAGCAGGGGACCUUUGGGCCUUGCGCUAGCCGAGCGGCCGAUGUCCGAUUAGCUAGUUGGUGGGGUAAAGGCCUACCAAGGCGACGAUCGGUAGCGGGUCUGAGAGGACGAUCCGCCACACUGGGACUGAGACACGGCCCAGACUCC